GUGCCUGCUGGAUUUAAUCAAAUAACACUAAACAUUGACUGAAUUUGGCAGGCUGAUCCU
ensembl:miRNA